UGGGGAAUUUUGGACAAUGGGCGAAAGCCUGAUCCAGCAAUGCCGCGUGUGUGAAGAAGGCCUUCGGGUUGUAAAGCACUUUUGUCCGGAAAGAAAUCCUUGGCUCUAAUACAGUCGGGGGAUGACGGUACCGGAAGAAUAAGCACCGGCUAACUACGUGCCAGCAGCCGCGGUAAUACGUAGGGUGCAAGCGUUAAUCGGAAUUACUGGGCGUAAAGCGUGCGCAGGCGGUUUGCUAAGACCGAUGUGAAAUCCCCGGGCUCAACCUGGGAACUGCAUUGGUGACUGGCAGGCUAGAGUAUGGCAGAGGGGGGUAGAAUUCCACGUGUAGCAGUGAAAUGCGUAGAGAUGUGGAGGAAUACCGAUGGCGAAGGCAGCCCCUGGGCCAAUACUGACGCUCAUGCACGAAAGCGUGGGGAGCAAACAGGAUUAGAUACCCUGGUAGUCCACGCCCUAAAACGAUGUCAACUAGUUGUUGGGGAUUCAUUUCCUUAGUAACGUAGCUAACGCGUGAAGUUGACCGCCUGGGGAGUAUGGUCGCAAGAUUAAAACUCAAAGGAAUUGACGGGGUCAUAGCUGUUUCCU
rnacentral:rRNA from 1 species